UUUUUUUAAAUUAAGCAUAUUCAUGAGAAAAAGGGGAAUAUAAUACAUCGAAACAUCCCUAAACUUGUAGCUAAAACUUACUUUAGAUCCUACGUGGCCCAAGUCCCCUGGAAGGGGACGCCAGAGAGGGUGAGAGCCCCGUUGUGCCCGGACCCUGUCGCACCACGAGGCGUUGUCUACGAGUUGAAUUGUUUGGGAAUGCAGUCCAAAUCGGGCGGUGAAUUCCGUCCAAGGUUAAAUAUUGCCAGGAGAUCGAUAACGAACAAGUACCGCGAGGGAAAGAUGAAAAACUUUGAAAAGAGAGUCAAAGAGUGCUUGAAGUUGUCGGGAGGGAAGCGGAUGGGGGCCGGCGAUGCGCCCCGAUCGGAUAUGGAACGACGACGAGUCGGUUCGCCGAUCGACUCGGGGCGUGGACCAGCGUGGAUUGGAGGGCGGCCAAAGCCCGGGUUCUCGAUACGCUCGUGGAGCGCCGUCUCCUCGAUUGUGGCAGGCAGCGCGCGCGCCUCCGGCAUGCUUCGACAUUUGCGCGCUCCGAACGUUGGCCUGUUUAGGGGUGUUUUGAUGUAUUAUCUCUAAUUAGAAAUUCAAUUUAAAUUAAUAUGAUAGUUAUUCACGUAGAAUUGUGUUGAUUACUAGAUACUAUAAGGACAACCAAACUACUUAAUCAACUAUUCAUAACUUUUCACAAGUUCAAAAAAAAAUGCUCUUAUCUAUUUGUUAAAU
rnacentral:ncRNA from 1 species